rnacentral:misc_RNA from 1 species
UGCUCCAGGCUGCAGGCGUGG